UGCUAACUACGAUUAAAUCUAAGACAACUUCUGCAGCUUUGCUUCAGUGCGUCAAUCGCUCCUUCCGGCGAGUUUCCGGCGAACUUCCGUCGAUCAUCCGAUGAACCCUCGGUGAUGCUCCUGCGGACUUCCGGCAAACUCCUGGACUUUGCGACGAUCCAUUUGGCAAGUUCCGACGAGCUUCGCUUGGCAGGCUUCUGGACUUCUCGGAUCUGUUCUCGCAGAACCUCCGUCGACCGUCCGAACUUCCGUCGAACUCUCGAACUCCCAACGUGAUCAUGAACUUGACUCCGGCGCAACUCCUGCUGCUUGUCUAUCUUUCAUCGUAGUUAAUCCUGCACACUUAUCUCAACACAUAGAUUAGACAACAAAUGACAAUUGACUUCAU
rnacentral:lncRNA from 1 species